rnacentral:ncRNA from 2 species
UAAUAUGAAAGAAACUUAGAAGUAUAUUCUGUAUAUGGGCACUUGGGAUAUAUAGAGUUAGUAGUGCAACCGGCUUCCAGUAUU